GUAUCUAGUAGGAAAGCUGCUCUUUCUGGAGUUGGAGCAUUUAGUACACUGUGGUUGCAGAGCUGGGAUCAAGAUAACAAAAUCCAAUAAUGAAACUCUCAAGUAAAUGGGAAUGCCUCAAUUAACAUAUCAAUGAGAAAAUGUUUCCAUGCAGUUGUGCAAAAAUGUCCAAAACACUGGAUAAUGAAUGGAAAUUAAAACUAACUGAAAGUCUAGAUCUUAGAACAAAGGAAGCGUGAUCAACACUUGCUUGUACUCCACAGACGGGGUCCUCUUUGAGACCUCUACAGCUGACACGGAAACUGAGAUGUUUGCCCAUGUCUUGUCUUUCUUCCUGGUAAUGAGCUUGAAAAGCCAAGAUAUAGCACAAGGAAUAACUCCUAGGCUUUGAGUGCAACCAUCGUGGCCAAUCAUUGUG